rnacentral:rRNA from 1 species
GGGUGGUAAUGCCGGAUGCUCCAGUUGAUCGCAUGGUCUUCUGGGAAAGCUUUCGCGGUAUGGGAUGGGGUCGCGUCCUAUCAGCUUGACGGCGGGGUAACGGCCCACCGUGGCUUCGACGGGUAGCCGGCCUGAGAGGGCGACCGGCCACAUUGGGACUGAGAUACGGCCCAGACUCCUACGGGAGGCAGCAGUGGGGAAUAUUGCACAAUGGGCGCAAGCCUGAUGCAGCGACGCCGCGUGAGGGAUGGAGGCCUUCGGGUUGUAAACCUCUUUUAUCGGGGAGCAAGCGAGAGUGAGUUUACCCGUUGAAUAAGCACCGGCUAACUACGUGCCAGCAGCCGCGGUAAUACGUAGGGUGCAAGCGUUAUCCGGAAUUAUUGGGCGUAAAGGGCUCGUAGGCGGUUCGUCGCGUCCGGUGUGAAAGUCCAUCGCUUAACGGUGGAUCCGCGCCGGGUACGGGCGGGCUUGAGUGCGGUAGGGGAGACUGGAAUUCCCGGUGUAACGGUGGAAUGUGUAGAUAUCGAAAAAGAACACCA